AUUGAACGCUGGCGGCAGGCCUAACACAUGCAAGUCGAACGGUAACAGGAAGAAGCUUGCUUCUUUGCUGACGAGUGGCGGACGGGUGAGUAAUGUCUGGGAAACUGCCUGAUGGAGGGGGAUAACUACUGGAAACGGUAGCUAAUACCGCAUAACGUCGCAAGACCAAAAAGGGGGGCCUUCGGGCCUCUUGCCAUCGGAUGUGCCCAGAUGGGAUUAGCUAGUAGGUGGGGUAACGGCUCACCUAGGCGACGAUCCCUAGCUGGUCUGAGAGGAUGACCAGCCACACUGGAACUGAGACACGGUCCAGACUCCUACGGGAGGCAGCAGUGGGGAAUAUUGCACAAUGGGCGCAAGCCUGAUGCAGCCAUGCUGCGUGUAUGAAGAAGGCCUUCGGGUUGUAAAGUACUUUCAGCGGGGAGGAAGGGAGUAAAGUUAAUACCUUUGCUCAUUGACGUUACCCGCAGAAGAAGCACCGGCUAACUCCGUG
rnacentral:rRNA from 1 species